GAUGAACGCUGGCGGCGUGCCUAACACAUGCAAGUCGAGCGAGAUGUAUAUGGACGAAACUUCGGUCUAGAAAAUAUAUUGACAGCGGCGGACGGGUGAGUAACGCGUAGGCAACCUGCCCUUAACACAGGGAUAGCCUCGGGAAACCGGGAUUAAAACCUGAUAAUGCCAAAUAGUCACAUGGCUGUUUGGCCAAAGAUUUAUCGGUUAAGGAUGGGCCUGCGUCUGAUUAGUUUGUUGGUGGGGUAACGGCCUACCAAGACUACGAUCAGUAGCCGACCUGAGAGGGUGAUCGGCCACAUUGGAACUGAGACACGGUCCAAACUCCUACGGGAGGCAGCAGUGGGGAAUAUUGCACAAUGGGCGAAAGCCUGAUGCAGCAACGCCGCGUGAGCGAUGAAGGCCUUUGGGUCGUAAAGCUCUGUCCUUGGGAAGAAAAAAGUGACGGUACCCAAGGAGGAAGCCCCGGCUAACUACGUG
rnacentral:rRNA from 1 species